rnacentral:rRNA from 1 species
UGUUCUGUGGGUGGAAAGAUUUUUCGUGUUGGGGAUGGACUCGCGGCCUAUCAGCUUGUUGGUGAGGUAAUGGCUCACCAAGGCAUACGACGGGUAGCCGGCCUGAGAGGGUGACCGGCCACACUGGGACUGAGACACGGCCCAGACUCCUACGGGAGGCAGCAGUGGGGAAUAUUGCACAAUGGGCGCAAGCCUGAUGCAGCAACGCCGCGUGAGGGACGACGGCCUUCGGGUUGUAAACCUCUUUUGGCAGGGAAGAAGCGAAAGUGACGGUACCUGCAGAAAAAGCACCGGCUAACUACGUGCCAGCAGCCGCGGUAAUACGUAGGGUGCAAGCGUUGUCCGGAAUUAUUGGGCGUAAAGAGCUCGUAGGCGGUUUGUCGCGUCUGCUGUGAAAACGCGAGGCUCAACCUCGCGCCUGCAGUGGGUACGGGCAGACUAGAGUGCGGUAGGGGAGAUUGGAAUUCCUGGUGUAGCGGUGGAAUGCGCAGAUAUCAGGAGGAACACCGAUGGACGAAGGCAGAUCUCUGGGCCGUUACUGACGCUGAGGAGCGAAAGCGUGCGGAGCGAACAGGAUUAGAUACCCUGGUAGUCCACGCCGUAAACGUUGGGAACUAGAUGUGGGGUCCAUUCCCACGGAUUCCGUGUCGCAGCUAAC